rnacentral:rRNA from 1 species
UACGAAGGGGGGCUAGCGUUGUUCGGAAUUACUGGGCGUAAAGGGCGCGUAGGCUGUGCUGUAAGUCAGGCGUGAAAGGCCCGGGCUCAACCUGGGAAUGGCGCAUGAUACUGCGGCGCUGGAAGGCGGGAGAGGAUGGCGGAAUUCCCAGUGUAGAGGUGAAAUUCGUAGAUAUUGGGAAGAACACCGGUGGCGAAGGCGGCCAUCUGGCCCGCAAUUGACGCUGAGGAACGAAAGCUAGGGGAGCAAACAGG